AGGUGAGGCCGACGACGCCGGGAGUGGAGCGGUCGGCGGAGAUGGGGAAUCGUGGCUCGAUGAGGGAGAGAGCGCGGAAGUAGGAGAGGAGGAGGUCGCGGCGGGCGUCGGGGGAGGAGUCUGGGGGGCGCUCAAGGUCGGCGCGCAUCUGGCGGACGGACUCAAGGUCAUCCUCGGCGGAUUGGGCCUCGCGCUCGGAGUAGGAGGAGGAGAUGUACUGGCGGAGGGGGCGGUAGAGGUCGGUGGCGGUGGUUUUCUUCUCGAGGAUCGCCAGCAUCACGCUCGCCGCCGCCGCAGACGACAUCGGAGGAGGAGAGAUCGGAGGAUCGGAUCACCG
rnacentral:misc_RNA from 1 species